GUUAUUAUACUUUAAAUUAAAAGACCUGAUUUGCAUUUAGGUAAUAAAGUUUUGUACUUUUAAUGACA
rnacentral:tRNA from 1 species